rnacentral:rRNA from 1 species
UACGGGGGGAGCAAGCGUUGUUCGGAUUUACUGGGCGUAAAGGGCGCGUAGGCGGCGCAACAAGUCACUUGUGAAAUCUCCGGGCUUAACUCGGAAAGGUCAAGUGAUACUGUUGUGCUAGAGUGCGGAAGGGGCAACUGGAAUUCUUGGUGUAGCGGUGAAAUGCGUAGAUAUCAAGAGGAACACCUGCGGCGAAGGCGGGUUGCUGGGCCGACACUGACGCUGAGGCGCGAAAGCUAGGGGAGCGAACGGG